rnacentral:rRNA from 1 species
AUUGAACGCUGGCGGAAUGCUUUACACAUGCAAGUCGAACGAUGAACCUUAGCUUGCUAGGGGGAUUAGUGGCGAACGGGUGAGUAAUGUAUCGGAACGUAUCCAAUAAUGGGGGAUAACUAGUCGAAAGAUUAGCUAAUACCGCAUACGUCCUACGGGAGAAAGCUAGGGACCUUCGGGCCUGGCGUUAAUGGAGCGGCCGAUAUCUGAUUAGCUAGUUGGUGGGGUAAAGGCUCACCAAGGCGACGAUCGGUAGCUGGUCUGAGAGGACGACAGCCACACUGGAACUGAGACACGGUCCAGACUCCUACGGGAGGCAGCAGUGGGGAAUUUUGGACAAUGGGCGAAAGCCUGAUCCAGCCAUUCCGCGUGAGUGAAGAAGGCCUUCGGGUUGUAAAGCUCUUUCGCAAGGGAAGAAAACUUAAGCUCUAACAUAGCUUGAGGUUGACGGUACCUUGAUAAGAAGCACCGGCUAACUACGUGCCAGCCGCCGCCGUAA